GAUGAACGCUGGCGGCGUGCCUAAUACAUGCCAGUCGAGCGAACGGACGAGAAGCUUGCUUCUCUGAUGUUAGCGGCGGACGGGUGAGUAACACGUGGAUAACCUACCUAUAAGACUGGGAUAACUUCGGGAAACCGGAGCUAAUACUGGAUAAUAUUUUGAACCGCAUGGUUCAAAAGUGAAAGACGGUCUUGCUGUCACUUAUAGAUGGAUCCGCGCUGCAUUAGCUAGUUGGUAAGGUAACGGCUUACCAAGGCAACGAUGCAUAGCCGACCUGAGAGGGUGAUCGGCCACACUGGAACUGAGACACGGUCCAGACUCCUACGGGAGGCAGCAGUAGGGAAUCUUCCGCAAUGGGCGAAAGCCUGACGGAGCAACGCCGCGUGAGUGAUGAAGGUCUUCGGAUCGUAAAACUCUGUUAUUAGGGAAGAACAUAUGUGUAAGUAACUGUGCACAUCUUGACGGUACCUAAGCAGAAAGCCACGGCUAACUACGU
rnacentral:rRNA from 1 species